rnacentral:rRNA from 1 species
UGGGGAAUCUUGGACAAUGGGCGCAAGCCUGAUCCAGCCAUGCCGCGUGAGUGAAGAAGGCCUUCGGGUUGUAAAGCUCUUUUGUCAGGGACGAUAAUGACGGUACCUGAAGAAUAAGCCCCGGCAAACUUCGUGCCAGCAGCCGCGGUAAUACGAAGGGGGCUAGCGUUGUUCGGAAUUACUGGGCGUAAAGCGCACGUAGGCUGAUUGUUAAGUCAGAGGUGAAAUCCCGGAGCUCAACUUCGGAACUGCCUUUGAUACUGGCAAUCUAGAGUCCGGAAGAGGUUAGUGGAAUUCCCAGUGUAGAGGUGAAAUUCGUAGAUAUUGGGAAGAACACCAGUGGCGAAGGCGGCUAACUGGUCCGGUACUGACGCUGAGGUGCGAAAGCGUGGGGAGCAAACAGGAUUAGAUACCCUUGUAGUCCCUGAGCGGGCUGGCAAGGCGCAU